rnacentral:rRNA from 1 species
UCUGUGAUGCCCUUAGAUGUUCUGGGCCGCACGCGCGCUACACUGAUCGGUUCAUCGAGUUUACAACCUUGACUGAUAAGUCUGGGUAAUCUUUUGAAAGCCGAUCGUGCUGGGGAUAGAUCAUUGAAAUUAUUGAUCUUCAACGAGGAAUUCCUAGUAAACGCGAGUCAUCAACUCGCAUUGAUUACGUCCCUGCCCUUUGUACACACCGC